AGGCUGGUCUUGAACUCCUGGCCUCAAGCCAUCCUCCCGCCUUGGCCUCUCAAAUUGCUGGGAUUACAGGCAUGAGCCAUUGCGCCCGGCCAGAAAAUUAUAUCAUUAGGCUCGUACAUGGAGGAGUUAGUAAUGCAUGAAUUUUUUCCUCCUUGUAGAAUUCAGGAUAAACCCUGUUGAUCCUGUGUUUUUCUAAGGACCAAAUCACCACUCUUUCCUGAGGGUAACUCUACAGACGUGAUUAAUUCAUUAAUGUAGAUAUUAUCUUUCUUUUGAUGGUCACGGGAUAAUUGCUUUGAAUUGAAGCUAUUAUCUCCUCCAUUGUCACCAUCACUAGGCAGGACCGCAUGGUUUAAGGCAACGCCUCGGGUAGGAGCAAAAACGCAUCCACUGUGGAGAUGAGGUUUCGGUUGCCUCCGUUCUUUAAUUUAAAUAGCGCAAACCCGUUACCAGGUCAAAAGAACUAUAUUUGAAUUCGAGCUGCAGGAGGUAAAUCGAAGUAUACUAGAAUUGAUUUCUAGCCUGCUUGAAGGCGGAUGCUGAAUUCAGACCAGCAGUCACACUCCGGGAUUUCCACAGUAGUUCAUGAAAGAAUUAGAAUCUGGGGCUAAACAGAGUAAACACACCCGCUUUUCCUGCACCAGAAAACGCCAAGAUGUUCAUAGGCAUCGUGUUAGUCACAUUACCAAAAACUGCAACAUUCAUGUAAAUAGUGACUUUCCCACCCCGUGUCGUCGGCAGGCAGUGGAUGCCCACGAUAGGAUGCCCUACAGUUCUCCACAGUCAUCUGCCCAGGCGACUGGGCGUCCCUGGUCCCAUCCCGCCCUCCGAAACCCGUGAAGGGUGUUCAAUACCCGCGCUCACCGCGGUCUUUUGCUGCCCCCUGCCAGGCCCCUACCGUCGGGCUACGAAGGGCUGAAGUACCGCCCCGAGAGGGCGCAGGACCCAUGACGUCACCUCUGCGCGCGACCCGAGGACGGAAGUUAGUCUGCUCCACUUCCGCUCCACUUAGCCACUCCGGACGCCAGAGGCGGAAGUAAAAGCCAUAUACAGCGGAGACAGUUCUCCAGCCUUUAUGGAGGGAUGCAGAGCCUUUCCUUAAGACAAACAAGCGUUGGCUGAGGGAGCAACUUUUGAAGUAAAUGACGAUGCGAGAUUUGGAAGAAUUCUAGAGGCAUGUGUUUUGGGAGCAGCAUGGAUGAGAAUCAGAGUGGAUCUGCAGACUGCAGCAUAUUACAACCCCCUCACUGGAGAGAUGAUGCAAACAAAGACAUGCAGGUGGACAUGGAAAAUCGGGUGGAUGGCCUGCAAGCUGCCUAGGCCAGAGGAAAUUUUGAAUGAACUCAGCUUUCCGUGACCAGGAGUGGAGACAUUAAAAGAGCUUUUCAGCCUCUCUGGUUACAGAGAUAAGUACAAAAGGCAAAAUAAACCUACAGCAAAUCAUGAUGAUCCCCUUUAGAAGCACUGAAAAAUCAUGUGUCUCACAGGUGUCUAGACUUUUCUUUGUCUGUGGUGCAUGAUGGCUACCUAAUCUGCUUAGGCAGCUCAGCAUGCACAGGUAAGUUAGAUGUAACAAUGCCAACUGCAUGGAUUAUAGUGUUCAACAUCAGGUGACUCUUUCACUUCAAAUUCUUUGUAAAUGUGGACAAUUCUGAAGCCCCAGAAGCAGUGUAAUCCUCCGUGCUGGGGUACACAGGCUGAGCCAGCUCUAAGGCUGCCUGGUUUCCUCCUGCAGGCAUUAGACAUCACUCACCCUCCCUUCUUAGUCCUGUCCUGAGGACAUAGUAGCUCUUUGCCUGUUGAUAGAAAAGUCCAAGUGUGUGGAGCCCUGUAUUAUGGCAUGCUGGGGGCUAUGAGCUGCUGUUCUCUGUAUUUACCAUCACUGUAGGGAGGGCAGAAGUUUCCCUCAGGUACACUGUAAGGCAAUCUGGAAUUCUAGUUGCUUGCAGAGCUGAAUUCUGCAUCUGAUCAUGCAGAUGCAUAAGAAUAGGACCUCAGCCUGUUCCUGCUGCCACUUUCAUAAGCUAAAACAUGCAUCGAUGAAGCAUUUUUAAGUAAAAGUUCUUUGCACAAAGGAUUAAGGAUUUGAUCAUUAUUGAGUUGAUAAUGUUCACUCUCUAUUGUUUCUUAAAGAUACAAUGGAGAGUAGUCCCAAAGUAAAGAGUUCAGGAGUGAUUACAGUUUGAAUUCAGUGAACUAGGCAUAUAUUUCCCCUUGUAGCAAACAAUAGAAUCUAUCUGGUUACCUUGGGAGAUGUAAAUUUAACCACAUAUAACUGAUUUAUGGAUAGAGAAGCAGAAGUAACUAGUUUAGAGAAGGGGAGGGAGAGACAGAAGAAGUGGGGCGGGUAUCAGAUAUGCAGAGGAAAAUGGAUAAGAGAAAGAAUACUUCUGGCCUCAUGGUUUUUUGGUUCCAAAUACAUUGUGAAUCUUUAUUUCAUCUUGGUCUUUGUAUGCUAAGAGAUACUCUUAUGUUAAAAUUUCUUCAUUUUAUUUUUGUUUUAGCUGUGUUAGCUAAAACUGUUUGCUGUUGUUUGUUGCAACUUCCUCAGUUUUUAGAAAAUCACAUUGCUCCAAACGAAGUCUCUCUUUCAUUUGGUAUUUUUAAGCAUCAAAAAUCUUUGUCCACUUUAGUUAUUCGCAGUCUAAGCGUCUUAACAAUUAUGAGUGUUUUUUAGGAUGGACCAAGCUAGUUUCUCCUAAAAUACAAUUAUAGUCAUCUUUUUACAAUUCUCAGAAAAAUGUGAGUUAAUGAAUGAUCGCCUUCAUUUUAUGUUUUUCUCUCAAAAAUUAUUUCUCAAGCCAUUGGAAAUCGUAACCACUUGCCUGGUUUUGAAUACUAGCAGAUGACAAAAUGACCAAGCUGAGAAAUGUUAAUAGGAAAACUGAGGAGCUGCCCCUUGCAUUUAGCUUGCAGCUUGUUUUGGUAGACAUGUAACAAUAAUUUCACAUUGUGUGUAUGUACUUAUACACAGGUAUAUUUAUAUGUACACUAGCGUUUAUCUAUGUAAGUCUUAUUUUCUACUACUAAGACAGAUGCUAGUUUGUGUGUUAGAAUAUAACCGACCAAUAGGCAUUUUUGGCACCUGAAAAAGUUUGGAAGCCACUGCCUCAGAUUAACUUAAGUCUCCUUUGUUUUUUUAGUUCUUACCUUUCCCAAGCACUGCAGUCAUAUGGGCCCCAAUCUGUCUCUCCCACCACUGUUUUGUCACAUGCUAGCUCGAUUUCUAGCCUUUCACAAUGGGAGUGUCCUUGUAACCCACACACUGGCAUGGCACAUGCAUAUUGUAUAUAGAGACUAGAGGGCCGGAAUCUGCAUGCAUUUUUAAUUGGGGAGAGGAGCCAUUCCUCUCAAUGACCCUGAGGGGUGGAAGACCAGAUCUCAAGAUCCAUAGUGUGUAUUUCUUUAAAGUUUGCGCAACCUUGCAUCAGUCCCUGUGGAGAAUACCUAUUCAUUAGAUUGGUUCUUUGUCUGGCUUAGAGAUGCUAGUGUUUUUUAAGUUAGGUCUGUGGAUGGAGACAGGAAUAUAUAAUUAAAUAUAAUAAAAUUUUUGCAUCAAUUAAACCUUGGGCAUGCUUGUUAAAUGCUUUUCAUAAAAUGCUUAUUAAACUUCUCAUGAAUGAUGUUCUGAUAAUAGAAGAUAAUUUCUAGGUUUGUAGAAUUCAAGACUAAGUUGAUUUUUUCUUGCUAUUCAUUUGUUUUAAUGAAGAGUGUCAUGUCAGACCCCUACUAACUUCAGUAGGGAAGGUGCCAGGUUCAAGAGGCCAAAGAAGAGACCCAGAGCCAGUAAACAAGACAUGGGGUUUAUUGAGGAAAACUUACAUACAGGUAUGGUCCACCGGCAGUGGGCUGGAUAGGAGAACUGUGUGGACCAGUGGCAGCAGGCUGAGCAGGAGAACGACAACCACUUGUGAAAAGCAUGGAGUUUAUAUAGCAUUUCACUUAGCACCCUCCCCCUAGAAACUUCCACCUAGCAACCUUCAUUUAACUCAGACAAGAGGGCCUUGAUCCAUUGUAGGCCAGCAUUCCAUGGUAUAAACUGGGUGUUCGGAUGUUCCUCAUGGAUAAGGAAUGAAUCUCCGGGUUGGCUACUCCCAGAUUGCUUAGUUUGGCACUCUGAACACACAUUCAGGUAUGUCUGCCAUACAGGGUCAUUCUCAGGCUAUGCUUACGCUAAUUUUUCAGGUGUGGGUACCAUACAAAGAGGUAAAUAUUAAUUAAUGCGUCUCCCUUUUCACAAAAAACAACAUUACUCAUGUAGAUAACUGGCAAGUUCAAUAUUAAUGAAGCCUCUUUUUCCAUGAAUAAGGGAAUCUGUCAGUUAUAACUCGAUUUGCUAAAAUAUCAGGAGAUCCUGCUUUCCCUUGGGAAGGUCAUUUAUUUAUUCAUUCUAAUUUGGCAUUUAAAAUGCUGUUAUUUAUUACAUCUUCUUUAUAGUUUUUGGGGUUUAGAAAAAAAUCACAUUACUCUAACCACAUGUAUACACAUGUGACAAACCUGCAUGUUCAGCACAUGUAGCCCAGAACUUAAUGUAAAAUUUAAAGAAUGAAAAAGAAAAAGAAAGAUCACAUUGCUCCAAAUGGAGACCCUUUCUUUUAUUUGGUAUUUUUAAGCAGCAAAAUCUUUGUCUUUAAAAUUAUCUUCCACAAAAGCCUCCCCAUCUUAAUAUAUUUGAGAAAUGUGCUUUUUCUAGCUAAUAUGUUAGACAAACAUGAAAGAUUUUUAUAAAAUCUUUCUACUCAAUGUUAAUUUCUAGACAUAAAUUUAUAGGAUGUUGUUUUGCUUUGUAAAUGUUUUUCUUUUUCUCUCACUCCUCAUCCUUUUAUUUCUGCUUCUUCCACUGCCUCUCUCCUAGUGAGCCUGUUUUUUUCUCUUUUGGCUGCUUUACGACCAAAGGGUCUCAGUAGUGAUGGGAGGAUGAGGGAUAAGGAUGGAGUUUAUGCAAACCACUCAGGAAGUCAUUUCCAAAUAGUCAUGCCUGAACCCAUUUUCAAAUAUUUUGAUUCAGUUGGUCUGGGGUGAGACCCAAACAUAUAUAGUUUUUUAAAGCUCCCCAGGUGAUUCUGAUAUUCUCCCUUGAUUUGGAAUCACUGCUUUAGUGACUACCUCUAUGCUUUGUACAUUGAGUCAGUAUUUUCCCUCCCUUCGAUUUUUAUUACUGCAAUUCACAGAACUAUCCAUACGCAGGCCUUAUAUAAUUUGCAUCAUAUAUCUCUUAAAUUUAAUCCACCCAAUACACCUCAUUCAUGUUAAUUUU